GGGGAUUUGGGCCAGCUGCUACAGGGCCUAAUUCCUUCAGCUACAAAGUUCUAUAUUAGAAGAAAGGAGGCUUUGGAGAUUAGUGGAAAGGUCCAAAUCAAUAUGGAAUCAAUCAUGGACUCAAAAACAGUUUCAGAUGUAGACUUAAUGACAAGAAAUAAGGGGGACCUAAUGGUUACUACUAUAACUGAAGACACAGAGUAUGAUCUUAACAGUAACCACCAAGACAACAACAUAGGGCAAGUC
rnacentral:lncRNA from 1 species